GAUGAACGCUGGCGGCGUGCUUAACACAUGCCAGUCGAACGGAAAGGCCCUGCUUUUGUGGGGUGCUCGAGUGGCGAACGGGUGAGUAACACGUGAGUAACCUGCCCUUGACUUUGGGAUAACUUCAGGAAACUGGGGCUAAUACCGGAUAGGAGCUCCUGCUGCAUGGUGGGGGUUGGAAAGUUUCGGCGGUUGGGGAUGGACUCGCGGCUUAUCAGCUUGUUGGUGGGGUAGUGGCUUACCAAGGCUUUGACGGGUAGCCGGCCUGAGAGGGUGACCGGCCACAUUGGGACUGAGAUACGGCCCAGACUCCUACGGGAGGCAGCAGUGGGGAAUAUUGCACAAUGGGCGGAAGCCUGAUGCAGCAACGCCGCGUGCGGGAUGACGGCCUUCGGGUUGUAAACCGCUUUCGCCUGUGACGAAGCGUGAGUGACGGUAAUGGGUAAAGAAGCACCGGCUAACUACGUG
rnacentral:rRNA from 1 species